UCCUGGUAUUGCUGAAAUUGAGGAUGCGAGAAAGAAGGUGGCUGUUAACCACUAGGUUGUAGGUUCGAGUCCUACCCGAGGAGCCA
rnacentral:tRNA from 1 species